rnacentral:rRNA from 1 species
GAUGAACGCUGGCGGCGUGCCUAAUACAUGCAAGUCGAGCGAAUGGAUUAAGAGCUUGCUCUUAUGAAGUUAGCGGCGGACGGGUGAGUAACACGUGGGUAACCUGCCCAUAAGACUGGGAUAACUCCGGGAAACCGGGGCUAAUACCGGCUAAUAUUUUGAACUGCAUGGUUCAAAAUUGCAAGGCGGCUUCGGCUGUCACUUAUGGAUGGACCCGCGUCGCAUUACCUAGUUGGAGAGGUAACGGCUCACCAAGGCAACGAUGCGUAGCCGACCUGAGACGGUUAUCGGCCACACUGGGACUGAGACACGGCCCAGACUCCUACGGGAGGCAGCAGUAGGGAAUCUUCCGCAAUGGACGAAAGUCUGACGGAGCAACGCCGCGUGAGUGAUGAAGGCUUUCGGGUCGUAAAACUCUGUGGUUAGGGAAGAACAAGUGCUAGUUGAAUAAGCUGGCACCUUGACGGUACCUAACCAGAAAGCCACGGCUAACUACGUGCCAGCCGCCGCAGUAA